AUUGAACGCUGGCGGCAUGCCUUACACAUGCAAGUCGAACGGUAACAGGUUAAGCUGACGAGUGGCGAACGGGUGAGUAAUGUAUCGGAACGUGCCCAGUAGUGGGGGAUAACUGCUCGAAAGAGCAGCUAAUACCGCAUACGAACUGAGGGUGAAAUCGGGGGAUCGCAAGACGUCGCGCGAUCGGAGUGGCCGAUAUCAGAUUAGGUAGUUGGUGGGGUAAAGGCCUACCAAGCCGACGAUCUGUAACUGGUCUGAGAGGACGACCAGCCACCCUGGGACUAGAAAACGGCCCAGACUCCUACGGGAGGCAGCAGUGGGGAAUUUUGGACAAUGGCCGCAAGUCUGAUCCAGCCAUGCCGCGUGCGGGAAGAAGGCCUUCGGGUUGUAAACCGCCUUUGUCAGGGAAGAAAAGGUUCUGGUUAAUACCUGGGACUCAUGACGGUACCUGAAGAAUAAGCACCGGCUAACUACGUGCCAGCAGCCGCCGUAA
rnacentral:rRNA from 1 species